CAUGAGUGUAUAUUAGAAUUGUUGUAGUUAAAAAGCUCGUAGUCGGAAAUUAUUUUUUGAGUCAUUUUAAAAUUCUUCAAUUUUGUUCAGCCUAUGGUUGAGAAAAUUGAAAUUUAAAAUCCAAAAAAUAUUAAAGGAAGAUUAGAAGGAUUUCAGAUUUUAUUUGGAGUUCUUUUAUUCAUCCAUUUUACUUUGAAAAAAUUAGAGUGUUCAAAGCAAGUUUUUUUCAGCCAGCCUUGUGUUGCGCGAAAAUACCAAACAACUUUUGAAUAUUUCAGCAUGGGAUAAUAAAAUAAGACUUUAUUUAUUUAAUUUUAUUGGUUUUAUAAAUAUCAACUUUAUAAUAAGGUAAUGAUUAAUAUAAUCAAUUUGGGAUAUUUGUAUUUCAUAGCUAGAGGUGAAAUUCUUGGAUUUAUGAAAGACAAACAUAAGCGAAAGCAUUUAUCAGGGAUGUUUUAAUUGA
rnacentral:rRNA from 1 species